AUCCCUACGGGGGGCAGCAGUGAGGAAUAUUGGUCAAUGGCCGGGAGGCUGAACCAGCCAAGUCGCGUGAGGGAAGACGGCCCUACGGGUUGUAAACCUCUUUUGUCAGGGAGCAAGGUGCAGGUCGGGACCUGCUGUGAGAGUACCUGAAGAAAAAGCAUCGGCUAACUCCGUGCCAGCAGCCGCGGUAAUACGGAGGAUGCGAGCGUUAUCCGGAUUUAUUGGGUUUAAAGGGUGCGUAGGCGGGCUGUUAAGUCAGCGGUAAAAGCCCGGGGCUCAACCCCGGCGAGCCGUUGAAACUGGCU
rnacentral:rRNA from 1 species